rnacentral:misc_RNA from 1 species
GAUGAAGAACGUAGCGAAAUGCGAUAAGUAAUGUGAAUUGCAGAAUCCAGUGAAUCAUCGAAUCUCUGAACGCACAUUGCGCCCGCCAGCAUUCUGGCGGGCAUGCCUGUUCGAGCGUCAUUUCAACCCUCGACCUCCCUUUGGGGAAGUCGGCGUUGGGGACCGGCAGCACACCGCCGGCCCUGAAAUGGAGUGGCGGCCCGUCCGCGGCGACCUCUGCGUAGUAAACCAACUCGCACCGGAACCCCGACGUGGCCACGCCGUAAAACACCCAACUUCUGAACGUUGACCUCGAAUCAGGUAGGACUACCCGCUGAACUUAAGCAUAUCAUAAGCGGAGGA